GAAUCUUUUCUCGUCCUAAAGUAGUCCCUUCGAAACUUUCGAGCCAAAUCUCAAAUCAUGAAAAAUCUUGUGGUUUUCUUAUGAAAAUAUUAGUAACAUUUAGUAUAAAUGGUAUCUCUUUAUUCUUCUGACACAAUAAAGCAAAUCAAUAGAGUGAAAGUAGGUUUGAUAAAUCUCGUUUUACAAAGUUAAACUAUCCCUUGUAUUGCAUAAGGUUUGCAGGGACAAAGGGCACAUUCAAUCACAUGCAACCUCAUGAGAGCUAGGAAGAAGAGAAAAGAGUACAAAUAUUCAGAGCUAAUCACUAUCGAUGUGAUACCUCCAUUGGUUUAUUUCAAGAUUGAAUGGCUCUUCCGUUUCAGCAGGUGGCUUUACUCCUAGAAAUAGCAAUGUGCUCAUAGUAUCCACAUCUUCGAACAGGGUAUAUGCCUUCGACGUUGAAGCUAAACAACUAGGAGAAUGGUCCAACCGGAAUACAUUCUCCCUGCCGAGAAGAUUUCAAGAAUUUCCUGGAGAAGUGAUUGGGCUUUCUUUUGCUCCUUCUACUAAUUCAUCAUCCGUCAUAGUCUAAAGUUCAAGGGCGAUGUGCUUGAUUAACUUUGGGUUGCCAGUUGGUGAUGAUGACGAUACUGACUUAGCUAAUGGUCAAGAUUUAGCUUUGAAGAAGCUACAUAAUAGUUCUCCUGCAAAUGGGACUUUAAAGCGCAAGUUGAAAGGGAAUGACUUAGAUUUGAAACAAAACGGUAGAAAGAAUUUUGAAUUCUGUGCUUUCAGGGAUCCUGUUUUAUUUGUUGGACAUCUUUCAAGAACUUCCACCUUGAUCAUAGACAAACCUUGGAUUCAAGUGGUUAAAACUCUUGAUGCUCCACCCGUUCACAGACGUAUUUUUGGGACAUAACUCUGGUCACAAGUUUUUGUAAUACUAGGGAAUGUUUCGAGGGGAGUAUUCAAACCCCUUUCGCUUAUAAAUUUUUCUUUGUUGUUA